CAGUAGCCACGGUAAUACGGAGGGUGCAAGCGUUAAUCGGAAUUACUGGGCGUAAAGCGCACGCAGGCGGUCUGACAAGUCAGAUGUGAAAUCCCCGGGCUUAACCUGGGAACUGCAUUUGAAACUGUCAGGCUGGAGUCUUGUAGAGGGGGGUGGAAUUCCAGGUGUAGCGGUGAAAUGCGUAGAGAUCUGGAGGAAUACCGGUGGCGAAGGCGGCCCCCUGGACAAAGACUGACGCUCAGGUGCGAAAGCGUGGGAGCAAACAGGAUUAGAUACCCCUGUAGUCCCUGUCUCUUAUACA
rnacentral:rRNA from 1 species